rnacentral:rRNA from 1 species
UGUGCCUACGGGGCGCAGCAGUGGGGGAUAUUGCACAAUGGGGGGAACCCUGAUGCAGCGACGCCGCGUGGGUGAAGAAGCGCCUCGGCGCGUAAAGCCCUGUCAGCAGGGAAGAAAAUGACGGUACCUGAAGAAGAAGCCCCGGCUAACUACGUGCCAGCAGCCGCGGUAAUACGUAGGGGGCAAGCGUUAUCCGGAAUUACUGGGUGUAAAGGGAGCGUAGACGGUGAUGCAAGUCUGGAGUGAAAGGCGGGGGCCCAACCCCCGGACUGCUCUGGAAACUGUGUAACUUGAGUGCAGGAGAG